CCCUUAGAUGUUCUGGGCCGCACGCGCGCUACACUGAUGCAUUCAACGAGUCUAAAACCUGCUCUGAUAGGGGUGGGUAAUCUUUUGAAUGUGCAUCGUGAUUGGGAUAGAUGAUUGCAAUUUUUCAUCUUCAACGAGGAAUGCCUAGUAAACGCAAGUCAUCAGCUUGCAUUGAUUACGUCCCUGCCCUUUGUACACACCGCCCGUCGCUCCUACCGAUUGAAUGAUCCGAUGAAUAUCAUGGAUUGAGGAUGCAAGCAGGUUCGCCUGUCUUCAUCUUCGAGAAGUGAAGUAAAUCUUAUCAUUUAGAGUAAGGAGAAGUCGUAACA
rnacentral:rRNA from 1 species